CCUACGGGUGACAGCAGUGAGGAAUAUUGGUCAAUGGACGAGAGUCUGAACCAGCCAAGUAGCGUGAAGGAUGACUGCCCUAUGGGUUGUAAACUUCUUUUAUAUGGGAAUAAAAUGUUCCACGUGUGGGUUUUUGUAUGUACCAUAUGAAUAAGGAUCGGCUAACUCCGUGCCAGCAGCCGCGGUAAUACGGAGGAUCCGAGCGUUAUCCGGAUUUAUUGGGUUUAAAGGGGGCGUAGGUGGAUUGUUAAGUCAGUUGUGAAAGUUUGCGGCUCAACCGUAGAAUUGCAGUUGAAACUGGCAGUCUUGAGUACAGUAGAAGUGGGCGGAAUGCGUGGUGUAGCGGUGAAAUGCUUAGAUAUCACGAAGAACUCCGAUUGCGAAGGCAGCUCACUGGACUGCAACUGACACUGAGGCUCGAAAGUGUGGGUAUCAAACAGGAUUAGAUACCCUAGUAGUC
rnacentral:rRNA from 1 species